CCCUUAGAUGUUCUGGGCCGCACGCGCGCUACACUGACGAAGUCAGCGAGCAUGUCCUACGCCGACAGGUGCGGGGAAUCUUGUCAAACUUCGUCGUGAUGGGGAUUGAUUAUUGAAAUUCUUGAUCAUCAACGAGGAAUUCCUAGUAAGCGCAAGUCAGCAGCUUGCGUUGAUUACGUCCCUGCCCUUUGUACACACCGCCCGUCGCUCCUACCGAUUGGGUGUGCUGGUGAAAUGUUCGGAUCGGCCGUUUGUCGCGGUUUCCGCGUCAUGUGGCUGAGAAGUUCAUUAAACCCUCCCACCUAGAGGAAGGAGAAGUCGUAACA
rnacentral:rRNA from 1 species